GACGAACGCUGGCGGCGUGCUUAACACAUGCAAGUCGAACGGAAAGGCCCUGCUUUUGUGGGGUGCUCGAGUGGCGAACGGGUGAGUAACACGUGAGUAACCUGCCCUUGACUUUGGGAUAACUUCAGGAAACUGGGGCUAAUACCGGAUAGGAGCUCCUGCUGCAUGGUGGGGGUUGGAAAGUUUCGGCGGUUGGGGAUGGACUCGCGGCUUAUCAGCUUGUUGGUGGGGUAGUGGCUUACCAAGGCUUUGACGGGUAGCCGGCCUGAGAGGGUGACCGGCCACAUUGGGACUGAGAUACGGCCCAGACUCCUACGGGAGGCAGCAGUGGGGAAUAUUGCACAAUGGGCGGAAGCCUGAUGCAGCAACGCCGCGUGCGGGAUGACGGCCUUCGGGUUGUAAACCGCUUUCGCCUGUGACGAAGCGUGAGUGACGGUAAUGGGUAAAGAAGCACCGGCUAACUACGUGCCAGCAGCCGCGGUGAUACGUAGGGUGCGAGCGUUGUCCGGAUUUAUUGGGCGUAAAGGGCUCGCAGGUGGUUGAUCGCGUCGGAAGUGUAAUCUUGGGGCUUAACCCUGAGCGUGCUUUCGAUACGGGUUGACUUGAGGAAGGUAGGGGAGAAUGGAAUUCCUGGUGGAGCGGUGGAAUGCGCAGAUAUCAGGAGGAACACCAGUGGCGAAGGCGGUUCUCUGGGCCUUUCCUGACGCUGAGGAGCGAAAGCGUGGGGAGCGAACAGGCUUAGAUACCCUGGUAGUCCACGCUGUAAACGGUGGGUACUAGGUGUGGGGUCCAUUCCACGGGUUCCGUGCCGUAGCUAACGCUUUAAGUACCCCGCCUGGGGAGUACGGCCGCAAGGCUAAAACUCAAAGGAAUUGACGGGGCCCCGCACAAGCGGCGGAGCAUGCGGAUUAAUUCGAUGCAACGCGUAGAACCUUACCUGGGUUUGACAUGGAUCGGGAGCGCUCAGAGAUGGGUGUGCCUCUUUUGGGGUCGGUUCACAGGUGGUGCAUGGCUGUCGUCAGCCCGUGUCGUGAGAUGUUGGGUUAAGUCCCGCAACGAGCGCAACCCUUGUUCACUGUUGCCAGCACGUUAUGGUGGGGACUCAGUGGAGACCGCCGGGGUCAACUCGGAGGAAGGUGGGGAUGACGUCAAGUCAUCAUGCCCCUUAUGUCCAGGGCUUCACGCAUGCUACAAUGGCUGGUACAGAGAGUGGCGAGCCUGUGAGGGUGAGCGAAUCUCGGAAAGCCGGUCUCAGUUCGGAUUGGGGUCUGCAACUCGACCUCAUGAAGUCGGAGUCGCUAGUAAUCGCAGAUCAGCAACGCUGCGGUGAAUACGUUCCCGGG
rnacentral:rRNA from 1 species